AAGACGGUCUUGCUGUCACUUAUAGAUGGAUCCGCGCUGCAUUAGCUAGUUGGUAAGGUAACGGCUUACCAAGGCAACGAUGCAUAGCCGACCUGAGAGGGUGAUCGGCCACACUGGAACUGAGACACGGUCCAGACUCCUACGGGAGGCAGCAGUAGGGAAUCUUCCGCAAUGGGCGAAAGCCUGACGGAGCAACGCCGCGUGAGUGAUGAAGGUCUUCGGAUCGUAAAACUCUGUUAUUAGGGAAGAACAUAUGUGUAAGUAACUGUGCACAUCUUGACGGUACCUAAUCAGAAAGCCACGGCUAACUACGUGCCAGCAGCCGCGGUAAUACGUAGGUGGCAAGCGUUAUCCGGAAUUAUUGGGCGUAAAGCGCGCGUAGGCGGUUUUUUAAGUCUGAUGUGAAAGCCCACGGCUCAACCGUGG
rnacentral:rRNA from 1 species